GAAUCAAUGCUUUAUUUAGUCAUGGACCUGCGCGAUCAGCAGUGCCUGCCCGUGUCUAUGCUCUAUGGAAUAUCAUCUCAACAAUUAAUGUUGUAGUAGCUUUCAUUUGUGGAUCUGUUCAUUUUCAUAGUCAAUCCUCUGCGAAAAGACAUCCCAACUUUCAGUCGUGGAAUUUUAGCAUGGACGAUAGUGGUUGGUGGAUGCUGCCUACUGGACUUCUCCUAUUUAAAACAGCUCAAGCAAGUCUUAUAAAUUACCAUAUAGCCAAUCU
rnacentral:misc_RNA from 1 species